rnacentral:rRNA from 1 species
CCCUUAGAUGCUCUGGGCCGCACGCGCGCUACACUGGUCGAUGCAACGAGUUUCUUUCCUUGGCCGACAGGCCUGGGCAAUCUUUGAACAUCGAUCGUGAUCGGGAUAGAUUCUUGUAAUUUUUGAUCUUAAACGAGGAAUUCCUAGUAAACGCAAGUCAUCAGCUUGCAUUGAUUACGUCCCUGCCCCUUGUACACACCGCCCGUCGCACCUACCGAUUGAAUGGUCCGGUGAAAUCUCCGGACUGGCGUGAGUCGGAGCAAUCUGACAAACGCCGGAAAGUUGAUUAAACCUUACCAUUUAGAGGAAGGUGAAGUCGUAACA